CUCCCGCCAAAGAAAGGGCAGAAAAGAGGUGGCGCAGCCCCGCCUCUCGUGGCGCUGUUGCCUAGCAACGCGACUCCUUGGUGACGGCGGCGACAACAGCGUGAGGGCCGCGGUCGGCCCGGCGGCAGUCUGAGGCAAGGGGUGGGAGGCGGGAGCAGGCGGAGGAUGGCUGCCCAGGAGAGUGUGUAUAACCUCCUGCCCCGGCUGGAGGAGAAGCCCGUCAAACCGCCCAGGUAUAUAUCGACAUUUAGGCCAUCUGUGAAACUUGAAAUAGAGCGAAGUAAAGCGCAGUGGAAAACUAUGGGGCCAGCAAAAGUUGCGGUGCCAUCUCCAAAAAACUUUCUGAAGAAACACUCCAAGGAACCCACAUUACCAGCAAG